CCUGUACCCAUAAGAACUGAACCUUUCUCCAGGGUAGCAACUGAUCUUGUGGGGCCGCUAUCUCCAGCAUCCUUGGAAGGGCAAUGCUACAUUCUGAUGUUCAUUGAUUACGCAACUGGAUUUCCUGAAGCAGUCCUCCUUAAGGAAAUCGAUUCUGUCUCUGUCGCCAAAGCUCUUCUUUCUGUAUUUUUGAGGGUGGGUAUUCCCCAAGAAAUACUACUGGACCAAGGUACGCAGUUUACCUCCCAAUUGAUGGCAGAACUGCAUAAGUCGCUAGAGGUCAAGCCUUCCUAAACCACUCCAUUCCAUCCCAGUGCAAAUGGACGCAUUGAAAGGCUGCAUGGGCCACUGAAUUAAGUUGUGUGCUGACAGAUUCAGUGAUGGCACUGAUACUUGACAGCUACUCUCUUUGCCCUCCGGGAGUGCCCCAGUGACUGGACAGGGUUCUCUGUCUUUGAACUACUCUAUGGGAGGACAGUGGGAGGACCCUUAUCAGUAUUAUAAGACCUGUGGGAAGACCGCACCCUGAAGGACCACACCUUGAAGGACAACAAGCGAUCACCCUUUCAGUAUGUGGUCAAGCUGCAAGACAAGCUAGCAGAUUCAGCAAAAAUCACGGCCGAGAAUGCAGACAUUAAUGCCUCCCACUACAAAUCUUACUUUGACAUCAAGUCUCAAAGCUGCCAGUUCCAACCUGGUGAUGAGGUACUUAUACUGCUCCCCAAUGAAACCAGCAAGCUCCUUGUGCUGUGGAAGGGCCCUUUUAAAAUCUUGGAAAGGUGAGGUAAGGUGGACUAUCUCAUAGAUUGGCCCAAGGGUCCGAAACUAUACCACACUAACCUACUAAAACACUAAAAAUGUUACUUCCACCGUUCACAGGUCAACUUUGCAUAACUGCUAGAUGAAGAUUCUGCAGGAGUCGAGGAAGCUUCAUAGGAUGAGGAAGGGCUUGCCUGCACCACCAAUUUAGAGGAUGAGUACUUGAGAUUGCCAGUGACUUCUGACAGCGAACCAGAUGAAGCAGGUUCCAGGGCUCACUUCAACCCUAACCUGGAGCCAGAACAACGAAACAACCUGCUAGACCUUCUCGGUAAGUUUGAGGAUGUCUUUUCAGAUACCCCAGGCUGCACUUCCAUGACUGAGUAUGAUAUCCUCAUGACCACCACCCAUUUCCACUCAAAGGUCUACCCGGUCCCUAUCCACCUGAAGCCAUUUUUUGAGGAAGAGGUCAACCGAUUGUUCCAACAAGGCAUCAUAUGGAGAUUGGGAUCAACAUUGCUCUGCACUUGAAGCUGUGUUUGACAGGAUCAAAACCCAUGGCCUCACCCUUAAGAGCAUGAAGUGUCACUUUGGAUUUCCAUCCAUCCAGUAUCUAGGGUUCAAUCUUGGUGGGGACCACCUUCAGCCACAAUCCAACAAGGUAGAAGCUCUAUGUUACGUACCGUCUCCAUCAAAAAAGAAGCUCCUAUGUGACUUUCUUGGUAUGUUCCAUUCUGCAUCUCCUGGAAGCGAGCCUCACUUUAGUCCUUAGGACAGAUGCAUCCAUCAGAGGGAUUGGUGCUGUACUACUUCUGUACCACCUUGGGCACCUCCAUCCUGUUGCCUAUGCCAAACAGAAAUUCCUCCCGUGAGAGGCUAAGUAUAGCUGUUAUUUUUGGUAUACUUCACUCAGGGGUCGAGAGUUCAUCCUUGAAACCAACCACAAACCACUCACUUAUCUCCACACAAUCAAGGGAAAGAAUGAACACCUUCUGAGGUGGGCCCUAAACCUUCAGGCCUAUAAGUUCAGAAUAAUUCACGUGGCUGGAGUUGACAACAUUGGGGCUGAUCUCCUCAGUCGGGUCUAAUUUUCUGUGUAUCCUUUUAAGUGGUGUUUCUCUGCAGAGCCUAACUGGGGUAGACUCUUGAUGGGGGGAGUUAUGUAUGGGAUGAAACACCACUCCCUCCUAAAUGAGCUGAGGAGGAACAGGGGAACCUGGUACUCAUCCACCUUCAACCACAUGGGAGUGUGGGAGGUCAGCUCACCAACGCCCAUCCCAAAGCUUUGAGUCAUCAGCUGUUUUAGUGUGUGGAUGCUUCGAACAGCUAAACCUGUCUCCAGGUUUUGAUGCUCCACCUAGUUUCAUUUUGUGUGUGUGUGUGUGUGUAGGCUUCUUGUAGCCUCUUCCCAAGAUUAUGUGUGGACCUUGUAAAUCCAGCUCCAGCAGAACAGACUCAGUGCCGAGACUAGGCACACCUGUUCUCCCUUGGCUGUCAUCUAGAUUUCCACUGCGACAAAGUGCCCUCACUUUCUCCUUGUUCGUCCCUAGUGACAGGGUGUGUGUGUGUGUGUGUGUGUGUGUGUGUGUGUGUGUCUUAGUGUUUUUCCUGGGUCACAGCAAUGGAGUGGGGAAAGGUGCUGAGAAGCUUCAGUUGCAGUUGCAGUUGUGUGAAUGUGUAGUAUUUGUGUCUUUGAUAUCUUGUGUGUAGUGUGCGAAGAAAGUAUUGUGAUUAAACUUCCACACCAUUCCCCCAGUGUUUCUGUCCCAUUGCCCCUCUGUGGACCACCCCCUACUUGGCUCAGAUGAUUCUGGGAUCUGGAAAAAUGGCUGGACACUUCACCAUCACCCGUCUCGGUCAUUUCUCCCCUCACAAUGACUGUUCUAAUCCCUUAAACUACCAUCCUAUUACUUUAAUU